GCUGGGUGUGGUGGUGCACACCUGUAAUCACAGCUACUCAGGAGGCUGAGACAGGAGAAUCGCUUGAACCCGGGAGGCAGAGGUUGCAGUGAGCUGAGAUUGUACCACUGCACUCCAGCCUGGGUGACAGAGCAAGACCCUGUCUCUU
rnacentral:SRP_RNA from 2 species